AAGAAUAUAUGGAGGGGUUCUAUGUAAGGCAGUGUGGUCAGAGGGAGUUUUGUUGAGGAAGGCACAGUUAAGUUGCUGCCUGAAGAAUUAAAGAAGUCAGACACAUUGAUGAUGAUGGUUAGAUGUGUUCCAGAAAGAGGUAUAAAAACUGGGAGACGAGCACAGUGUCUUUGAGAAACUGAAAGAAGACAGUGGGCUGAUGCAUGGAAUCUGAGGAUGUGAUGCAGAUCUAGGUGAAGUCACAGAGAUAGAGAAGAAGAAAUUACGUAGGAUUUGUCUAAGCCAUGGUGAUACAGCUGGAAAUGAUGCCCAGGAUGAUAGUGAUGAUGGUGAUCAGAACAGUGAUGGCCUUGGCUUGACAUGUACCCACCACAGGGGAGAGAAUAAUAUAUCCAUGGGAAUAAAGGCAUUGGGACAAAAUUGUGAAGAGAUAAACUUGGGAACUGAUGACUACAGUGAGCAAGGAAAAAGAAAUGGAAAACUUCAGCUCAAGUUUCGAGUCUCUUUGAUGUAUAAAAUUACUGCACAGAUUGGAGAAGAUGAAAAAAAAUUCAGCUGCAUGAGAGUGAAGUGAAAUGUACAGGAUGAAAGGCAUAAAUAAAGAUGAAGAUAACAGCCAUGAUAUCCUGCUAACACCAAGUAUUGUCCUGGAGGCGGAAAAUCAGGUAUCAGACAGCUCUCUGGCAUGCAAUCUCCACUUAUUUCUACAUUUUAUUCUCUAAAAGCAUUCAUAUUGAGGCCCAGUACUCUAGAAAUGUACACUGAAUUAACAGAAUGCCUGUAUGAUUUUACUUUGUGCAUGAUAAUGUUUUUCUACUUAAGUAAAAAGUGGAUUUGUUUUACUGUUUUCUCAGAGGGAAUUAAACCCUCUUUUCUUUUCCUUUUUUUUUUUUCUUUUUUUGUUGUUGAGACCGUCUUGCUCUGUCAGCCAGGCUGAGGUACAGUGGUGUGAUCUCAGCUCACUGCCACCUUCACCUUCAUCUCCCGGGUUCAAAUUAUUCUCUUGCCUCAGCCUCCAAAUUAGCUUCGAUUGUAGGUGUGUGCUACCGCGCCUGGAUAAAUUUUUUUUUUUUUUUUGUAUUUUUAAUAGAGACAGGGUUUUGCCAUGUUGGCCAGGCUGGUCUCAAACUACUGGCCUCAAGCGAUCUGCCCGCCUCAGCUUCCCAAAGUGCUGGGGUUACAGGUGUGAGCCACUGCACCCAUCCUUUCUUUUUCUUUUCAUUGUGUGAUCCAUUUUAUGUUUACAUCAUUGUGUACAGAUCAGUUCUGCUUCAGUUCUACUAUGCCUACUAGAAAUUCCAUAUAAUGUUUGACUCACAUGCUUCCUCUUUUGCAAGUUAAACCUAACAACAGGGUUGCUUACUGAAUCUCAGUUCUGAAGAAGAAUGAAGUCUUGUUAAAGCAUUCAGAAAAUUUACCUGCAAUCGUGUAUUAGAAGCAACAACCAGGCCAUUCCUCAGGAUGGAGUGCCAGUUUUCAAUGUGUGAGCCACUAAAGAAACAGAUGGAAAGGAAAAAGCAAAACCAGAAAAUUAAUUAUCUUCAAAGUGGUCAAAACAUAAUAAGUCAUGGUGCCUUCUGAAGGUUCUGGAUUGCCAAAUCAAGUAUUAUGUAGUUGACUACAUGACCAUCUAUUGAAUGACCAUUUACUGAAAGACAGUGAUAUCUCCCCCAUAUAUUUCUGGAAAACUGGGUGGGGCACACCCCCAUUAACAUUAAGCCUUACUCACUGAAAUGCAAAGGUGCUUCCAAAGAGUUUUUUAGCAGCUCUAAAAUUGGAUUCUUUGGCUGGUGGACUGCUGAGAAGAAGGAACUGAUGUGGAGUAUGCAUAAACUUCAAUUGCUGCCGUUUAAAAUAAAGACAAACAAAAACAUGUAAAACAACAUAUAUUCAGGCUGAUCACAAUUUCAAAUUUUAUUGGUUUAAGAAUUCCCACUUCCAAACUAUAGUAAUUUUACACUAACCACAUUAGCAAGCUAAUUUGUAUAAUGUUUUUAAAAGUCUACAUAAGUGAUAAGUCACAUGGAAUUGCAAAUAUGAAGAACAAUUCUUUGGGCAAAUGGGAAAGGAACAGGAAACAGACAAUCCAAAGCUUUGGAAUACAGUAUGCAAUCAUGUUUAAGCAGAUCUGCCUUCUUAAUUACAUUUCUUUUAACACUUAUAUUAUUGAGUCCCUAAGUAUAUACUAGCUGCUCAACUGGGGAAAUAUUCUGGAGUUUGCUAAGCAGAAAAGAAAAGUUUAUAAAACUGCAAAAAUUAUUAUGAUACUUUAUUUGCAUAUAUUUAUAAAAUUGAGAAUUUUUGCCUACAUUCAAAUAUAGUCUCCUCCUUGGUCAGGGAGAGAAAUGAAAGCAGAAUCUUUUGGAUUAAUAGCUUGAUAACAUCUUCUAAGUGUUUCCCUUUCUCUUAGGAAUAUAGUUAUACAGGAAUAUAAUGCACAGGAAUCUACAUUUAGAGAUUCACAGAUGGCAAAAAUGAGAUUUUUAGGUACAGCUCUUAGGUGAUGAUCACAACUGAAAUCCAGAGUCUAUUAGCUUUUUACAAAUUACUAUUUUUUAAGCUUUCUAGGCUGAUAAAUAAGUUGUCUGAGGUCAAUAGCUUCUCAGCUGUAGAAAAGUGAGAAUGUGCCAACAUGAAACUGACAAUGAUUACAAAGCACAUUAACUUCUUUCUGGUCAAUCUCCAUAUAAUAUUUUUCAAUUGCUUGUGGAAUAACUAAAUGAUUUCAUAUUGAUGUUUUUAUUCACUUAAAAAGUCAGGACAGCAGACUGAAUUUGAAUUUGUUAUCUUGGAAAGGUUUGGAGCCAGUGAACAAUGGCUAUUUCAAACUAAAGAAUUAGAUUUAACCUGGGUUUACUUCAAUUCUUGGAGAGGCUGGCUAAAAAUUACAAGGUAGGUUCUCCCAACUGAUAAGUACUCCUCCCAUUUCUGUAUGCAUAUGUAAAAAAAAAAAACCAACUUACCCUGUUAACUGGCAGUUUCACAAUAUGUGAUCUAUUACUUGAUAUAACCCUGAAAUUAAAAUGAUCCAUUAGUCACAAACAUAUGCCAAAUAUAUUUAAAGUUCUUUUUCUUAGUUGGCAAGUGAUUAAAACUUAUUUUUGCUGUGCCAUAAACUAAACUUGGAAAUAAUUUCAUUUAGUUGCAUAAUCUAGGUUUGUUUCCUGAAACAAUUUAAAGAGCUUAUGUAAUAAAAAAGGUAAUAUUUUAAUCUGAGAAAACACACUAGGAAGUUGUUCCCUAAAACUUAAGAUGUAGUUUUUAAUAAGCACAACCUCAAGCAUCAGCAAAAUGAACAUUUGAACAUUUCUGAAUGUACUUUCAAAUAAUGAUAAUCCAAAUACAAAUAUGAGCAGU